GAUGAACGCUGGCGGCGUGCCUAAUACAUGCAAGUCGAGCGAACAGAUGAGGAGCUUGCUCCUCUGACGUUAGCGGCGGACGGGUGAGUAACACGUGGAUAACCUACCUAUAAGACUGGGAUAACUUCGGGAAACCGGAGCUAAUACCGGAUAAUAUAUUGAACCGCAUGGUUCAAUAGUGAAAGACGGUUUUGCUGUCACUUAUAGAUGGAUCCGCGCCGCAUUAGCUAGUUGGUAAGGUAACGGCUUACCAAGGCAACGAUGCGUAGCCGACCUGAGAGAGUGAUCGGCCACACUGGAACUGGGACACGGUCCAGACUCCUACGGGAGGCAGCAGUAGGGAAUCUUCCGCAAUGGGCGAAAGCCUGGCGGAGCAACGCCGCGUGAGUGAUGAAGGUCUUCGGAUCGUAAAACUCUGUUAUUAGGGAAGAACAAAUGUGUAAGUAACUAUGCACGUCUUGACGGUACCUAAUCAGAAAGCCACGGCUAACUACGUG
rnacentral:rRNA from 1 species